rnacentral:rRNA from 1 species
UUUAACGCUGGCGGCAGGCCUAACCCAUGCAAGUCGAGCGGAUGAAGGGAGCUUGCUCCUGGAUUCAGCGGCGGACGGGUGAGUAAUGCCUAGGAAUCUGCCUGGUAGUGGGGGAUAACGUCCGGAAACGGGCGCUAAUACCGCAUACGUCCUGAGGGAGAAAGUGGGGGAUCUUCGGACCUCACGCUAUCAGAUGAGCCUAGGUCGGAUUAGCUAGUUGGUGGGGUAAAGGCCUACCAAGGCGACGAUCCGUAACUGGUCUGAGAGGAUGAUCAGUCACACUGGAACUGAGACACGGUCCAGACUCCUACGGGAGGCAGCAGUGGGGAAUAUUGGACAAUGGGCGAAAGCCUGAUCCAGCCAUGCCGCGUGUGUGAAGAAGGUCUUCGGAUUGUAAAGCACUUUAAGUUGGGGGGAAGGGCAGUAAGUUAAUACCUUGCUGUUUUGACGUUACCAACAGAAUAAGCACCGGCUAACUUCGUG